AUUCUGCCCAUGCGGGGAAGGAUGAGAAGCUUCGACCAAGGUUCGACUCGAGCGCCAGCGAGAGAGCGUUGCCGCAGGCAACGACCC
rnacentral:sRNA from 1 species